GAUGAACGCUGGCGGCGUGCCUAAUACAUGCCAGUCGAGCGAACGGACGAGAAGCUUGCUUCUCUGAUGUUAGCGGCGGACGGGUGAGUAACACGUGGAUAACCUACCUAUAAGACUGGGAUAACUUCGGGAAACCGUAGCUAAUACCGGAUAAUAUUUUGAACCGCAUGGUUCAAAAGUGAAAGACGGUCUUGCUGUCACUUAUAGAUGGAUCCGCGCUGCAUUAGCUAGUUGGUAAGGUAACGGCUUACCAAGGCAACGAUGCAUAGCCGACCUGAGAGGGUGAUCGGCCACACUGGAACUGAGACACGGUCCAGACUCCUACGGGAGGCAGCAGUAGGGAAUCUUCCGCAAUGGGCGAAAGCCUGACGGAGCAACGCCGCGUGAGUGAUGAAGGUCUUCGGAUCGUAAAACUCUGUUAUUAGGGAAGAACAUAUGUGUAAGUAACUGUGCACAUCUUGACGGUACCUAAUCAGAAAGUCACGGCUAACUACGUG
rnacentral:rRNA from 1 species